UACGGAGGGUGCGAGCGUUAUUCGGAAUUACUGGGCGUAAAGCGCGCGCAGGCGGGAGAAAGGGUCUGUUGUGAAAGCCCAGGGCUUAACCCCGGAAGAGCAUUGGAAACUGUUCUUCUUGAGUCUCGGAGAGGAAGGGGGAAUUCCCGGUGUAGAGGUGAAAUUCGUAGAGAUCGGGAGGAACACCAGUGGCUAAGGCGGCCUUCUGGACGACUACUGGCGCUGAGACGCGAAAGCUUGGGGAGCAAACAGG
rnacentral:rRNA from 1 species